rnacentral:rRNA from 1 species
UACGGAGGGUGCAAGCGUUAAUCGGAAUUACUGGGCGUAAAGCGUGCGUAGGUGGUUUGUUAAGUCUGUCGUGAAAGCCCCGGGCUCAACCUGGGAACUGCAGGACGAACUGCUUGACUAGAGUAUAGUAGAGGAGUGUGGAAUUCUCGGUGUAGCGGUGAAAUGCGUAGAUAUCGGGAGGAACAUCAGUGGCGAAGGCGGCACUCUGGACUGAUACUGACACUGAGGUGCGAAAGCGUGGGUAGCGAACAGG